CAGAGUGGCGGGACGAAAUCCAGCGUCCUCCCGCGUCAGGUGCGACGGCGCUGGCGCUGGAUUUCAAAACAAGCGGCCGCGUGCUGCCCUGUCAUUAGCCGCACUCCAGCUCCGGCUCCAAAACACCAGCCAGACUGACACACGCUCAUGCAAAUGAGGCUGACAGCAAAGUUAUCAUCUUGCCUGUCACAAAGGCCUGGGAAACCUCACACAGUCAUUCACUCUUCAGAAAGCACCAUUUUUAGCAUCUACAGUACCGAACCAUGUGCAUAGCCCAGCCACCGGCUUGUUUAUAUAGAAGUGAUCAAGAAAGUGGCAGAAUUUUGCAAUGCAGAGGCU